UUUAUUUUAAAAGCCGUGUAACCUUUUUUGUUGUGAAAAAUAAAAAUCAAACAUUAAAGGAGUAAAAAUAAGAAUUUUUCUUUUUGUCUUCUAGCAAUAAAGGUCAAGUAAGAGAACAAAUUUCCCUUCUAUUUUUUGACCUCCAAACAGGGGUUUUAUUUAUGUGCUAUUCAUUGUAGUAUAGAAUUGUUCAACUAGUUUGACGUAGUAUUUGAUGUAAGAUAAGAACAAAUUCCAUAUUUGGCGAUGUGUAUCUCGCUAAUAAUUAUAUAAGAUAUGAUAAUGUCAUAUUUCUGCGAUAUAUUAUGUUGAUUUAUAUUUAUAAAUGUAGUAAUGUAAAAUGUGUAGUGUAAUAUAGUUUUUACCCUAUUUAGGAAUAGGAAUUAUUUACAAAAUGGUCUUCUAAAAUUUCCGUUUAGUUCGAUUGAUAAGACGUUUUAGCACAUAAUUAUAAUGUGUCUAUACCAUUGCCAAGUUUUAAGGUGCAUUGGUGGCAAAUAUUCUAGAAACAACAAAUAUGAAUUCGCUCAAAGUGGGUAUUUGUGUUUAGACAAAUAUUAGUUUCUGGUUUGGGUAUCAAUGUAGGUCUCUCUACCAAGAGUACCUAAGCAAGCAUAUUACGUUAAACUGUUGAUUCUGUUUGUCAUCAUAACACAUGAUCCUACCGUCAUUCUUAUAACUUAACUUAUAAUCUUUAAAAUAUUAUAUUUACUUGCUUUUUACUUUUUUUAAAGUAUUGUUAAUUUUUUAGAUGUAUUUUUAAUUAAUGUUGUGCUCAAACGCUAUGUUAUGGGGUCAGUGGACAAUCGAUAGCAUUUCGGCUUCCAGAAGUGCAAGGACUCAAUUAGAGCGUCAAUCAAUAGACUUUUUAGUAAUCCAUUUUCUAAGUCAGUUAUGUCAAUAGAUGACGUCGACGUCGAAUUAAUGCAUUUUAUUGCAAAUAAUAAUGUACAUUAAACAUUAACGUGAAGUUAAAGAUGGUCCAGCUUCGUAUCAUUUAUUACUAUUUGGCAAACGAUAUCUGAUUUAUUACCUCUGCCCGAUACAGUGACCUACUAUUGAUAUAACUCAAAUAGUUAAUCGAUUUAGUUUAGGUAUCUUGAAUACUGCAUAAAUGUAUACGUCAGGAUGUUAUUUGUUUUAUAAUCCAGAUUAUUCUCACCUUAGAUUGUUUUUUUUUCCAUUAACUAAACUUAUUAGGAUCUCUAUUCCUAUUUAAGAUCUUAAUUUUUUUUAACAUUUAUUCCUGUUUAGCAUUUCCUUGAAUAACUGUGUAAAAAAAUCCAGAAUUAAUUAUUUUAGUUUACUCAAUAAUGGCUUCCAAUAGUGCCAAAAUACAACAAAUAUUUAGACAAUAUUAUGUAUACGUAUGCCAACUGCUGACUUUCAAAUACACAGGCUGUAGACGGGCAGCAGCGCGACAAAGCCAGCCCUACGGUCACCAACCCGCCGGCCCAGCGUGGUGACUAUGGGCAACACAUGUAACCUCCUUCGUGAUCAUUCCUACGUGAUCUUCUAGUCAGUCUAUAUGACUAUAAUAUUUUUGGGUAUAUUAACAGCUUCUAUAAUUUUUCAAGUCCCAUACAAAAAUUUGAUACAAGGUAUGUGUUUGUAGAUCUGUAGUAACUAACUUACUGCGCAUUUUGUUCUGUCUUGAAAUUCUCAGCUCCCUGGGUUUUAACUACCUAUUCCUCUCAUCAUCAAUGCAUACAACGAACACAUUGUUGUGACUAUUCUUACAGUUUGGUCACAUACACGCUUCGUGCGAGUUAUCCUAGCUUUAUUAUCUGACUUCUAAAAUAGGAGGAGUUCUCAAUUCGAUUGUAUUUUUUUAUGCAUGUUACCUCAGAACUUUUGAGUGGGUGAACCGAUUUCGACAAUUUUUUUUAAUCGAUAGGUGGCGCAUAUCACGUGAUCUUAUUUAAAUUUAAUUGCGAU
rnacentral:misc_RNA from 1 species